UACGUAGGUGGCGAGCGUUGUCCGGAAUUACUGGGUGUAAAGCGCGUGUAGGCGGCAGGCCAAGUCGGUGGUGAAAGCGCCCGGCUCAACUGGGCGAGGUCCAUGGAAACUGGUCAGCUGGAGGACGGUAGAGGCGAGUGGAAAUUCCCGGUGUAGUGGUGAAAUGCGUAGAGAUCGGGAGGAACACCUGUGGCGAAGGCGGCUCGCUGGGCCGGUCCUGACGCUGAAACGCGAAGGCGUGGGGGAGCGAACGGG
rnacentral:rRNA from 1 species